GUGCAUGUACCUGUCGCUGUGCUUUUCUCUGUGCACAUACCUGUCGCUGUGCUUUUCUCUGUGCAUAUACCUG